UUUACAUGAAUAUAUUUGGGUCGUGAUUUUAGCAUUGUGAAAGGGAAGCUGUAGAACAGCAGCUUCGUUAUUUGAACGAGCCAUCAGUUCUUCACAACCUUCAGUAUAGAUAUUGUCAUGAUAUUAUUUAUGUAUGCAUGAUUGUGAUACUUAAUUUCCCUCCCAUCAAAUUGAGUUUCCCUUUUCCUCUCAUUUGACCUAUGUUUGUGCUUGUUUCCUGUAGAGUAAAGCAGGACUUGUUUUAAUAGCAAUCAAUCCCUUCAAAGAUGUCCAUUGUUUUGGAAAUGAUUUUAUCACAGCUUACAAGGAGAAGCUUUUUGACAAUCCUCAUGUUUUUGCUAUAGCAGAUAUUGCCUAUAAUGAAAUGAUGAGAGAUGAAGUGAAUCAAUCCAUCAUCAUAAGGUUAGUUGAACUGUCUUAUGGAUUUGUUGACAAUAGUUUGAAAAUUGAUUCUUAAUUACAGCUCAUAUUUGUAAUAUGACGUCAACAUCGAUUGUUAAUUACAGCUAGAAAGUGCUGCUAAGAAAUUUUGGUUAAUACUAGAUGUGCUUACCUAGUACUGAUGCAUUAUUUGAUUCUU